UUUAUGGAGAGUUUGAUCCUGGCUCAGGAUGAACGCUGGCGGCGUGCCUAAUACAUGCAAGUCGAGCGAACAGAUAAGGAGCUUGCUCCUUUGACGUUAGCGGCGGACGGGUGAGUAACACGUGGGUAACCUACCUAUAAGACUGGAAUAACUCCGGGAAACCGGGGCUAAUGCCGGAUAACAUGUUGAACCGCAUGGUUCUACAGUGAAAGACGGUCUUGCUGUCACUUAUAGAUGGACCCGCGCCGUAUUAGCUAGUUGGUGGGGUAACGGCCUACCAAGGCGACGAUACGUAGCCGACCUGAGAGGGUGAUCGGCCACACUGGAACUGAGACACGGUCCAGACUCCUACGGGAGGCAGCAGUAGGGAAUCUUCCGCAAUGGGCGAAAGCCUGACGGAGCAACGCCGCGUGAGUGAUGAAGGUCUUCGGAUCGUAAAGCUCUGUUGUUAGGGAAGAACAAAUGUGUAAGUAACUGUGCACAUCUUGACGGUACCUAACCAGAAAGCCACGGCUAACUACGUGCCAGCAGCCGCGGUAAUACGUAGGUGGCAAGCGUUAUCCGGAAUUAUUGGGCGUAAAGCGCGCGUAGGCGGUUUUUUAAGUCUGAUGUGAAAGCCCACGGCUCAACCGUGGAGGGUCAUUGGAAACUGGAAAACUUGAGUGCAGAAGAGGAAAGUGGAAUUCCAUGUGUAGCGGUGAAAUGCGCAGAGAUAUGGAGGAACACCAGUGGCGAAGGCGGCUUUCUGGUCUGCAACUGACGCUGAUGUGCGAAAGCGUGGGGAUCAAACAGGAUUAGAUACCCUGGUAGUCCACGCCGUAAACGAUGAGUGCUAAGUGUUAGGGGGUUUCCGCCCCUUAGUGCUGCAGCUAACGCA
rnacentral:rRNA from 1 species